rnacentral:rRNA from 1 species
AGAGUUUGAUCCUGGCUCAGGAUGAACGCUAGCUACAGGCUUAACACAUGCAAGUCGAGGGGCAGCAUGAACUUAGCUUGCUAAGUUUGAUGGCGACCGGCGCACGGGUGAGUAACACGUAUCCAACCUGCCGUCUACUCUUGGACAGCCUUCUGAAAGGAAGAUUAAUACAAGAUGGCAUCAUGAGUCCGCAUGUUCACAUGAUUAAAGGUAUUCCGGUAGACGAUGGGGAUGCGUUCCAUUAGAUAGUAGGCGGGGUAACGGCCCACCUAGUCUUCGAUGGAUAGGGGUUCUGAGAGGAAGGUCCCCCACAUUGGAACUGAGACACGGUCCAAACUCCUACGGGAGGCAGCAGUGAGGAAUAUUGGUCAAUGGGCGAGAGCCUGAACCAGCCAAGUAGCGUGAAGGAUGACUGCCCUAUGGGUUGUAAACUUCUUUUAUAAAGGAAUAAAGUCGGGUAUGGAUACCCGUUUGCAUGUACUUUAUGAAUAAGGAUCGGCUAACUCCGUGCCAGCAGCCGCGGUAAUACGGAGGAUCCGAGCGUUAUCCGGAUUUAUUGGGUUUAAAGGGAGCGUAGGCGGACGCUUAAGUCAGUUGUGAAAGUUUGCGGCUCAACCGUAAAAUUGCAGUUGAUACUGGAUAUCUUGAGUGCAGUUGAGGCAGGCGGAAUUCGUGGUGUAGCGGUGAAAUGCUUAGAUAUCACGAAGAACUCCGAUUGCGAAGGCAGCCUGCUAAGCUGCAACUGACAUUGAGGCUCGAAAGUGUGGGUAUCAAACAGGAUUAGAUACCCUGGUAGUCCACACGGUAAACGAUGAAUACUCGCUGUUUGCGAUAUACAGUAAGCGGCCAAGCGAAAGCGUUAAGUAUUCCACCUGGGGAGUACGCCGGCAACGGUGAAACUCAAAGGAAUUGACGGGGGCCCGCACAAGCGGAGGAACAUGUGGUUUAAUUCGAUGAUACGCGAGGAACCUUACCCGGGCUUGAAAGUUAGUGACGAUUCUGGAAACAGGAUUUCCCUUCGGGGCACGAAACUAGGUGCUGCAUGGUUGUCGUCAGCUCGUGCCGUGAGGUGUCGGGUUAAGUCCCAUAACGAGCGCAACCCCUACCGUUAGUUGCCAUCAGGUCAAGCUGGGCACUCUGGCGGGACUGCCGGUGUAAGCCGAGAGGAAGGUGGGGAUGACGUCAAAUCAGCACGGCCCUUACGUCCGGGGCUACACACGUGUUACAAUGGGGGGUACAGAAGGCAGCUACACGGCGACGUGAUGCUAAUCCCGAAAGCCUCUCUCAGUUCGGAUUGGAGUCUGCAACCCGACUCCAUGAAGCUGGAUUCGCUAGUAAUCGCGCAUCAGCCACGGCGCGGUGAAUACGUUCCCGGGCCUUGUACACACCGCCCGUCAAGCCAUGGGAGCCGGGGGUACCUGAAGUGCGUAACCGCGAGGAGCGCCCUAGGGUAAAACUGGUGACUGGGGCUAAGUCGUAACAAGGUAGCCGUACCGGAAGGUGCGGCUG